UACAGAGGGUGCAAGCGUUGUUCGGAAUUAUUGGGCGUAAAGCGCGUGUAGGCGGCUUUGCAAGUCGGGUGUGAAAGCCCUGGGCUCAACCUGGGAAUGGCAUUGGAAACUGGCGACCUAGAGUGCGGUAGAGGGCAGUGGAAUUCCCGGUGUAGCAGUGAAAUGCGUAGAUAUCUGGAGGAACACCGGUGGCGAAGGCGGCAUCCUGGACCGGUAUUGACGCUGAGUGAGCGAAAGCCAGGGGAGCAAACGGG
rnacentral:rRNA from 1 species